UAAAAAGAAAACAAGAAAAUAAGAAAAUAAUAAAAGAAAAUAAAAGAAAAAUAAAAAGUAGGCAAGAAAAGGGACACAAAGUGUUAGAAAGCAAGCGUAUGCACUACUACAAAAACAAGAAAUGAAACGCAACAUAUAGAACGGUUGGGUAGAAAAAGCGUUCUUUGCAACUACAUAGAACGGUUACCUGUAGCAGGCGUUGUGUAAAGUAAUAAAUAUGAAACAGUUAAGAACCUAACCGUUCUCUAUACUUUAUAACAUUAAAAAAUUAUUUUAUUUUAUUAAACUAAUAAAAGAAUAAAACAAUGUACUCAAACAAGUAUAUAACCGCAAAGUAUUUUUCCAGUUAAUUUUGAAAAGCCCGUCCACAAAUAGUUUAUCCCUCUUUUAUUUUUUAAAUUGGGCAAUUACUUUGAUACUUUAGCAAACCUAACCCACUUCUUUCUUAUCCUACCCGCCUGCCGCCUCCUCUUUCAUUUUCCUCAAGCUGUAUUGCUCAACUUCCAUAUACAUACUCCGUUUUCAUUUGAUUUUAGCAAUAAAAAAAUACAAUUUCAAUUUAUUGGAUAUAUCUAAAAUUUGUAUUGAUUAUUUAUUCUCAUCUAGUAUCAAUUUAUAUAUCUAUCAAUUGAAUUUGGUUAGCGUUCUACAAUCUAAUUAUAGAAAUUAUUCAUUUAUACGAUUAUCUUCAUGUAUUUGUUAAGGAUUUUAUGGCUUUUUACGGUCGAUAUGAUUAAAUCUCGAUGAUUUAUCCCGUCAGCGGUGAUAGUGGUGUCGGCGUUGUCGGCAAAGCUCGGAAAUUGCUGCCUCCGUCGUUACCUUUCCCGCCCUGGUUUUCCGUUGAAACAAUUUUCGAGUUCUCCAUUGAAGUGUUGUCGUGCUCUUAAUUGACGGGCUUCUCUCCUCUAGUUUUUGCAGCUCACAGAACUUGGGUUUUAAUCUCGGUCAUCCAAUGAAGAAUGCAAAUUUUGGUUGCUUAGCUUAAGAAAAAUAAUCUUCAAAGUUAUAUGAAAAAAGCAAGGAACAAAAAUUCGGCGUUUGACAUACGAAGUAUAAUUUUCCGAGGUUACUCAAGCGCAAGAUUAGAUUAUGCCAUGUCAAUAAUCAGGGCUUUUAUCAAGGUUGAGCAAAAAUUUUGUUAAGUAUAAUACAGUGUAUAUUACAAAGUAAUGAAAUUAUUUUUCUGAGUUUAAUUUCUUA